CUCAGGACGAACGCGGGCGGCGUGCCUAAUACAUGCAAGUCGAGCGCGGGAAGCAAGCAGAUCUCCUUCGGGAGUGACGCUUGUGGAACGAGCGGCGGACGGGUGAGUAACACGUGGGCAACCUACCUGUAAGACUGGGAUAACUCCGGGAAACCGGGGCUAAUACCGGAUGAAACAAAGCGUCGCAUGACGCAAUGUUAAAAGGCGGCAUAUGCUGUCACUUACAGAUGGGCCCGCGGCGCAUUAGCUAGUUGGUGAGGUAAAGGCUCACCAAGGCAACGAUGCGUAGCCGACCUGAGAGGGUGAUCGGCCACACUGGGACUGAGACACGGCCCAGACUCCUACGGGAGGCAGCAGUAGGGAAUCUUCCGCAAUGGACGAAAGUCUGACGGAGCAACGCCGCGUGAGUGAUGAAGGUUUUCGGAUCGUAAAACUCUGUUGUUAGGGAAGAACAAGUGCCAUUCGAAUAGGUUGGCACCUUGACGGUACCUAACCAGAAAGCCCCGGCUAACUACGUGCCAGCAGCCGCGGUAAUACGUAGGGGGCAAGCGUUGUCCGGAAUUAUUGGGCGUAAAGCGCGCGCAGGCGGUCCUUUAAGUCUGAUGUGAAAGCCCACGGCUUAACCGUGGAGGGCCAUUGGAAACUGGAGGACUUGAGUACAGAAGAGGAGAGUGGAAUUCCACGUGUAGCGGUGAAAUGCGUAGAGAUGUGGAGGAACACCAGUGGCGAAGGCGACUCUCUGGUCUGUAACUGACGCUGAGGUGCGAAAGCGUGGGUAGCGAACAGGAUUAGAUACCCUGGUAGUCCACGCCGUAAACGAUGAGUGGGGAGGUGUUAGGGGGUUUCCGCCCCUUAGUGCUGAAGUU
rnacentral:rRNA from 1 species